AUGCGCUGUAAUCACAGAUAUUCCCGUCAGAAUGCGGAGACUCCAGGGGCAUUUCAGGGACUUGACACAGCAGUUGAAGGGGCUGAUAAAGGAAACCAGGCCAGUCUGUUUCUGCCCGCCUGUCAUCGCCUGCCGAACCGUGAGAGAGAAGGCGACAGAAUCGGGGGGGGGGGGGGUGUAAGCUAGGUGCUUACACAUUAUCACUUUUCUGGAUACUUCAGUGGAGAGUAAUGGAAAUAAUCUCUGCAGCAGACCAAAUAUUAAAGAUCUCCUGCUCAGUGCUCUGAGCAUUUCCAAUGAAAGCUGUGGCCAGUGGAGUGGGUGGGACUCCUCAUGACAUACAGUGCAGUUUACAGUAUGAUCCCAGUGUCCAAGAAUGCAUGACAACACGCAGGACACCACCUACUUUUAAUGAUUCGCAGAUAAAAGUCUCUGUAUAACAGCCACUGCUCUGUAAAUAUACGAAAUGUAUUAUAUUCUUUCCCCCUUGUUGCUCUUAAAUUCAGUGUUGAGUGUGAUGUAAUUUGGCCCUGCAGCGCGUGUCACACAUUAGCGUAGGCAGCCUCUCUCCAGUCACACCACCGUAUUUCUAAAUCCAAUUUGGUUCAAUUCAAUUUCAUGUCUGAGCAGCCCGGCAAUCAACAACAACUCCAGCGAGUAUGUAAAGUGAAUUUAAAGCCCAGCAUGAGACCUGUCAGAACACACAACUAUCAACUAUCACGACAACACACAUCACACAGAUGGAUGGGAAACUAUGACACACAGAGAAAGAUCACUUGAAGAAACAUAGCCAUCAUCUGAACUGCACUGCUGCAGAUCUGAUGUAGAGUUAUAGCUCAAACUAACUGUCACUGUGGCAGCUUGAAGACGUGACAUGUUCCCUCUUCCACAGUCAGAGACGGUCCAUGCACAGACCUCAGACCCGAACACAACGCUAUCAACUAUCUAUUAAUCUGCUGCGUCAGUAUGUUCAAUCUGAAACAGAGCAGAAUGUGCUGGAAACAGCAGGACACUGUAUCUGCUUUUUUGGGAUAUGGAUUGAUUAGAUAUGAGAGGGACAGUAAUCUGCAGAGUAACGGCCCACGAUCAAGCAUGACACCAUUGAUGUUAAAAACAUUUACGACUGUGCCUUGUACGGAAUGAGGACGCCUAUAAAAGAGACAACGAGCGCCACCUGUAGUGUGUGUUUUGUUUGUUUGUGAUUUUUGCUCUUACAUGCACAUUUAUCACGGAGGUCAUACAGAGAAGCAUCAACGAUGAUAUGAGCGCUGUAAAACUAGCUGCUGCUCUUCAGGACGACAUAAUUAGCUUCUGAAAAAUCCGAUUAAAAUCAUUAAGAUUAAAUAAAAGUCACUGUGUAGCAUCGUUUAUCACAGGAUACUGUUUCACACAAAUGCUCUGAGUGAGGACUGUGACUGCGAUGACCCGAACAGUUGUCGGACGUGUCCCCUUGAGUGACCUCUGAAGGACAGUUUAAAGGUCACUGUCUGCUGGUGAAACUGAAACUGAAAUCAGCACACUUUAGCUGAAUAUUUCAAGCUCAACGUGAAAGCGCCUCACAAGGACGACGCAGACUCGACAAGGCACCGAUAUUUAUCUACAAGCAUCUGCUGUUUGAAGACAUCACAAAACAACCCACACUGAAGACUCUCAUUCCUGAAACCUCACAGGGUCUCAACGGCAGCGGCAGAUUUCGCGUGACAAGAGUCUCUCGCUGAUUGAAUCUUCCGAUAUCAACAACGCUGCUUUGUAAACAACAAUCAGCUGAUGGGUAAUGCUUUUAAUCUGAUAACACACACACACACACACACACCCUAACAACUGCACUGGGUUGAGAAGAAGCCCGGCUCUUGAACUGUGGGAAAUUACAUCAGAAAACAGUCAAUCACCGGGAAGCAAGACAAUAAGAACAGGACAAUAACAUGCAUCUAAAGCGGGACAGUGAAUAUCUCACAGGGACAGAGGAGCUUCUCCUUUUCCUUUAAACACUGAUCUUCUCUUUGGAAACUCUUUAAAAGACUGUGCAACAAGGAGCGUGGGAUGAAAGUCAAAAAAAAAAGAAGAGGAAAACGACGUGAAAGUAAAGUCAAACCCC